AGUGAACGCUGGCGGUAGGCCUAACACAUGCAAGUCGAACGGCAGCACAGUAAGAGCUUGCUCUUACGGGUGGCGAGUGGCGGACGGGUGAGGAAUACAUCGGAAUCUACUUUUUCGUGGGGGAUAACGUAGGGAAACUUACGCUAAUACCGCAUACGACCUACGGGUGAAAGCAGGGGAUCUUCGGACCUUGCGCGAUUGAAUGAGCCGAUGUCGGAUUAGCUAGUUGGCGGGGUAAAGGCACACCAAGGCGACGAUCCGUAGCUGGUCUGAGAGGAUGAUCGGCCACACUGGAACUGAGACACGGUCCAGACUCCUACGGGAGGCAGCAGUGGGGAAUAUUGGACAAUGGGCGCAAGCCUGAUCCAGCCAUACCGCGUGGGUGAAGAAGGCCUUCGGGUUGUAAAGCCCUUUUGUUGGGAAAGAAAAGCAGCAGGUUAAUACCCCGAUGUUCUGACGGUACCCAAAGAAUAAGCACCGGCUAACUUCGUG
rnacentral:rRNA from 1 species